rnacentral:lncRNA from 1 species
UAAUAACAUCGAAACUCUUAUAUAAAUCACGGAGGAAUAGCUUUUUUCGAUUUAUUCAAAUUAUUUUUGGUAUUCUAUUCGUAUCGCCUUCACACUGGCGAUACCACUGCCUGCUGCUGGAUUGCCAGCCAAAAUAAUGUAGAUAAAUCGAAAAAAAAUAAUCGUUCGCUCUGAGCGAGAUUCGACCCCGGGAGUUUCGGAGUUCGAAUCUAGUGCCGUAUGUACUCCGUUAUCAGCAUAUUGUACUUACAUACUAACAAAAUUUAUAUGUAAAUUGUGAACCAAGAUUUAUAUAGAAGUUUUGUUGUUUCUAAACUAUAAGACAUCUAGUAGCGUAGUGGAUAGCGCAUCAGACUAGGACUCCGAAGGUCCCGGGAUCGAGUCUCCCUCGGAACGGCCGCUUUUUUUCAAUUUGUUAAAAUUAUUUUUGCCGUUCUGUUGCUGGCAAUACAGCAGCACGAUGUGCUGUUCUUUUGCUGGCAAUACAGCAGCACAACGUGCUGUUCUAUUGCCGUUUCGUUGCUGUUACAUUACCCACGCUUAUUCGGUUAAUACAACGGCACAGCGUGCUGUUCUGUUGUCGUUCUGUUGCUAUUACGAAUUGGCACGUCGUGUCGGCGUAUUGUGAUUCUUUUUACGGUAUUAAACGCAAUACCGUGCCGUCAUAAUAAAGCUUUAUGCGGCGGCAAAAGAUACCAUAUUUGUGUUUCAAAAUUCAAUUUCGUGCCGUGUUAUUGCUGUAAUUCUAGCGCAAAAUAUCUAUCUGGGUGGGAACAAGAUGCCGAGGUCGUGAUUUGGUUGGCCACAGACGCGCAGUUGAACGAAGAAAUAUAUUGGCCAAUGAACUAAAACAAUUUGACGAUUGACAAAUUUACUCAAUCGUUAAAGAGUUCUUCGAACACACUUUUUACAAUCAGAGAGUCAUAACUAUUGUGAAAUCCGAUCAACAGAUCGAAAGGGUCGUCGUUCGCAUGUUCGCUUGGCCAUCUUCGAGACCGUCGCGGGUUUACGCAAAAGAACGGCAUCGGAAAAGAAUCGGAAGAUUUUCAAGACUCUCCUCGUCAACGAGGAAUUCUAAAAAUGCCUGUAAAUUUUGUAAGCACUGCCGGAAUCAUUGGUCACUAGAAACAAUGAGAUCCAACGUUUGAUCGACAAAAUACUUGUAAACGCAAUCACAAGCCCAAACGACCGGAAAAUCUGGGAGACUAUGAGCUACGUCUAUCGAAUCAAAGAUACGCACGCUUGGUACAGAGAUGGUUCUCGAGAACGGUAGAGGCUUCAGAAGCGGGGGAGGAGAUUCCUCGAGAGAACGUGAAAUGUCACGGAGACAACAAAAGACAAGAGCGAAAGUCUUCCAAACUCGACCUAAGGAGUUACUAACGAAACAAGAUUGAUGUUCGGGAUCUUCAGCUUCUGCUAUAACGUCGCUAUAGAACCGGGGCAGUUGUUCUCCUCUGAAACAUCUAAAAUUGAUUGCGUCCUCUUUUUGCACCCAGCCACAAUCAUUCGGGUCGAAAUGACCAACAGGAUCUCUUUCGUAGGCAUUUCCUAGCGGAUUGUACGAUCAGAUUUUUUAUCGAAACGACUACAAAAACGACCGAAAUCGGUUGUUUUCGAUCGUUUUUGUACUUUUUUCGACCGUUUCCUGGUCGUACAAUCCGCUAGGGUUCUGCCAUAUUACUGUAGCACCGGCGGUGAUAUCCUGCCGUGUCACUGAUUUUAGCUGGCAGCACGGUAUCACAAUUUUAACUGGUAUUUUUGGCGGAUUAAUAACGUCUGUGCACAUUUUUCCAACGUUUUAUCAGUAAAUAAAAUUAUAUUACUCAA